rnacentral:rRNA from 1 species
AUUGAACGCUGGCGGCAGGCCUAACACAUGCAAGUCGAACGAGUGGCGGACGGGUGAGUAAUGUCUGGGAAAUUGCCUGAUGGAGGGGGAUAACCACUGGAAACGGUAGCUAAUACCGCAUACCAUCAGAUGUGCCCAGAUGGGAUUAGCGUGUUGGGGGGGUAAGGGCUCACCAAGGCGACGAUCCCUAGCUGGUCUGAGAGGAUGACCAGCCACACGGGAACGUAGACACGUUACAGACUCCGACGGGAGGCAGCAGUGGGGAAUAUUGCACAAUGGGGGCAAUCCUGAUGCAGCCAUGCCGCGUGUAUGAAGAAGGCCUUCGGGUUGUAAAGUACUUUCAGCGGGGAGGCGUUACCCGCAGAAGAAGCACCGGCUAACUCCGUGCCAGCCGCCGCGGUAAUUC